rnacentral:lncRNA from 1 species
AUGACUAUUCCAGACAGUGUUUUGUUUUUUGUUUGUUUGUUUUGGCAGGUGCAAAUCUUUAGCAUAAAUUCUUUAGAAUGUCAACAUACAAUGCUUGUGUUCUCCAUUUUGCCAGUGAAUUGAGGACACAGUACAAAUCACUUUGGAUUGAAGUGACAUUCUUGAUCCAUGAAAAUCACAUUUACUACCAUUCAAAUAAGGGAGGAACAAGGCUCGGUCAGACUGAGAAGAGGAUCUGAUUCUAGGAUGUUAAAGCAAUUUGAAUCUACAAGACAUUAUGGACAAGAAAGUGAACACACUUUCUACCCCGUGGAAAGAAGUACCACAAGCAGGUUGCAGCUGGCCUGCAAAUGCCAGAUCUCGGUGUGAAGGGGGUCCGCACAAGCCUAUGCUUGUGAGAUGAGGCAAAGACUGGAAACUAGAUGUACAUGGUGCUAUAGUCUGGAGGCUGAGUGUCUCCCAAACACCCACACAUAAAGGCGUGGUACCGAGGGUGCUGGUAUUGAGAGGUUCUGUGGACCUUUAAGAGUCAGGGCCUCAGAGAAGCUCAGUGGGUCCCAGCACCCAGAAGGAAGCUCCUCACCUCCAUCCCAGGCUCCUAGGGCAGAGAAGGUGAGCCAGUAACAGCACCCAGAAGGAAGCUCCCUGCCUCCAUCCCAGGCUCCUAGGGCAGAGAAGCUCAGCUGGUCCC